GAAAAAAAAUGUUAUUAUUAUUUUUUUGAUAAAAAAUGUUACUAUGUUCUUCAAUCUCUAAAAAUUUCUUUGAGUUGAUAUAUAAAUUGAAUUGGUUAUUUUAAUAUCUUUGUAUGUUAGGCAGCUACAAAAAAUAGAUGAGGUUUAUAUACUAGUCACUCUAUUUCCAGAACAAAAUUUUAGACAGCUGAACAAGAAAUGGAUGAAGUUUAUACAUAGAUCACUAUAUUUCCAGAGCAAAAUGUCAUCGAUGUAUGUCUUCCUCUUCGGCUGCUAAAACAGAUGGAAACCAGGGAUGUUAAUAAUUUGUACCGUUUUGGGU